UGAGUACAAUAGGCUCUUGCCCAAUGAAGUAUGGUUUCCCAGCAGUGCCGGGAGGACAAUAUCUCUGAAUUCCAAUGUGUGGUUCCAGAAGGAUUCACAAAUUAGUUCUAUCUUCACAAGAGUCGCACAUGAUGUGAUCUGGAGCCCCAGAAGCCAUCCUGAACCAUGAGGCAACCAUAAGGAGAGAGGCCAAGUGCUAAAGAUGGUGCAACCAAGGACAGAAGGAGCAUGUGUCUCUGUGGACCAGGGAGUCACCAUGCUGGUCUUGAACUGCCUUUUCUCAGACUACUUUUAUGUGAGAGAAAAAUAAACUUCUAUCUUGUUUAA